UACGAAGGGUGCAAGCGUUACUCGGAAUUACUGGGCGUAAAGCGUGCGUAGGCGGUUUGUUAAGUCCGUUGUGAAAGCCCUGGGCUCAACCUGGGAAGUGCACUCGAUACUGCGUGGCUUGAGUAUCGGAGAGGUUGGUGGAAUUCUCGGUGUAGAGGUGAAAUUCGUAGAUAUCGAGAGGAACACCGGUGGCGAAGGCGGCCAACUGGACGAAUACUGACGCUGAGACACGAAAGCGUGGGGGAGCAAACAGG
rnacentral:rRNA from 1 species